UGGGGAAUUUUGGACAAUGGGGGAAACCCUGAUCCAGCCAUCCCGCGUGUGCGAUGAAGGCCUUCGGGUUGUAAAGCACUUUUGGCAGGAAAGAAACGUCAUGGGUUAAUACCCCGUGAAACUGACGGUACCUGCAGAAUAAGCACCGGCUAACUACGUGCCAGCAGCCGCGGUAAUACGUAGGGUGCAAGCGUUAAUCGGAAUUACUGGGCGUAAAGCGUGCGCAGGCGGUUCGGAAAGAAAGAUGUGAAAUCCCAGAGCUCAACUUUGGAACUGCAUUCUUAACUACCGGGCUAGAGUGUGUCAGAGGGAGGUGGAAUUCCGCGUGGAGCAGUGAAAUGCGUAGAUAUGCCAAGGAACACCGAUGGCGAAGGCGGCCUCCUAAAAUAACACUGACGCUCAUGCACGAAAGCGUGGGGAGCAAACAGG
rnacentral:rRNA from 1 species